rnacentral:rRNA from 1 species
AUUGAACGCUGGCGGCAUGCCUUACACAUGCAAGUCGAACGGUAACAGGUCUUCGGAUGCUGACGAGUGGCGAACGGGUGAGUAAUACAUCGGAACGUGCCCGAUCGUGGGGGAUAACGCAGCGAAAGCUGUGCUAAUACCGCAUACGAUCUACGGAUGAAAGCGGGGGAUCGCAAGACCUCGCGCGGACGGAGCGGCCGAUGGCAGAUUAGGUAGUUGGUGGGAUAAAAGCUUACCAAGCCGACGAUCUGUAGCUGGUCUGAGAGGACGACCAGCCACACUGGGACUGAGACACGGCCCAGACUCCUACGGGAGGCAGCAGUGGGGAAUAUUGGGCAAUGGGGGAAACCCUGACCCAGCAACGCCGCGUGAAGGACGAAGGCCUUCGGGUUGUAAACUUCUUUGAUCAGGGACGAAAGCGAUGACGGUACCUGAGGAACAAGCCACGGCUAACUACGUG